GGAAGGAGGCGGGGCCUAGAAGGGGCGGGGUCUCAAGGGGGCGGAGCGUCGAGCCGGCUUCUGGGGUCGCAAGGAUGGAGAAAGCUAGUAAACCCGCUUGGGGGCUCCCCGAGAGCGGUCGGGGGCCGGGGGGCCCUUGAGCUUCGGGAGAGCCAGACCUCGGCUUUGGGGGCUGAAACUUUGCUUGGACCCCCCUCGAAACCUGCAGGAUAGCAGAGGCUGGGGCCUGGCAGGGGGCAGGCAGGCAGGAAGUGGGUACCCGGAGGCCGGCUUCUCUUUCCCCACGACCUUGGAGCGAGGCACCUCCUUCUGCAGCUCCGUACGUGUGUUUUUAGAACGUUUCCCGGCGCUGGCUCCGCUCUCCGCGAAGCAUGGCCACGCCCCGUCCAAGCUGGAGCGUGAGAAAUUAUUGUCCCCAAGUCAGAAGCCGAGGCCCGAAAGGGGGAAGACAGGUUCAAGGCCGCGCCGCCGGCCCUACCCUCUGAAGCCUCAGUUUCCCUGUCCGUGGUGCUGAUGAUGCCUGGGCCUAUGGGCGCGGGGAGGGCGGGGCGGCGUCCCCGCGACCUCCCUGAACACUGGCCAAAGCAAAAAUCCUGUAUAUCCCAAUUUCUCCCUUUGCCUCUUUGGAACGUUUCCUCAGAGCUCUCUGAAAGGCUAUUUCCUAGACUACACUCCUCAAGAAGGUCCCCAAAUAAACAUACCUCUCAGCUCUUA